rnacentral:rRNA from 1 species
UACGUAGGAUGCAAGCGUUGUCCGGAAUUAUUGGGCGUAAAGAGCGAGCAGGCGGUUCGACAAGUCAGAUGUAAAAUAUCCCGGCUUAACCGGGAGGGGCCAUUUGAAACUGUCGGACUAGAGGUAGGUAGGGGAGAAUGGAAUUCCCGGUGUAGCGGUGAAAUGCGCAGAUAUCGGGAAGAACACCCGUGGCGAAGGCGGCUCUCUGGAACGCAACUGACGCUGAGACGCGAAAGCGUGGGGAGCAAACAGG